rnacentral:lncRNA from 1 species
ACUUUUUUCAUAGAGACAUAUUAUAUUGUAGAUAAUAUAAAGUAAAUCAUUUCAGUUAAUUACAUUUAGUUUCUAUAAAUCUGUUAUAAAACGCUCUGCAUUUGCAUCUCUGGUGUAAGUGUGGAGUCUGAGGCGUUAAAGCUAUUAUUAUUCUUUCAUUCAGUGGCUCCUUUCAUUCUCUCUCUCUCUCUCUCUCUCUCUCUCUCUCUCUCUCUCUCUCUCUCUCUCUCUCUCUCUCUCUCUCUCUUUCCUGCAGUGUGUUUUAUUGCAGUCUUGCUGGGCGUGGAUCAUGUGAGCAGCCAAUCACAGGUCAGCAGGAGGGCGGGGCUCUGGUCUCAUCAUCACAAUAAAAAGCAGAAGGAAACACCAGCAGACACUGUUUGCUUUCCUUCACGUUUUCAUUGGUCCUGCAGACAAAUCUGCUUGUGCUGCAGUGAAUGAAUCUGAAUGAAGACGCUGCCGCACCGAGCAUUCAAUAUCUGUGAUCAAUACAUGGAUCUGCAGCAGCGGUUCAGCUCAAUCAGGCGCUCGUUCUCCUGUGUGCAGCGUUUCAUUGAGCCGCCAGUGAUUCAUAAAUCCUGCAUGCGCUGGUGUCGUCUGCUGUGAGCCGAGAUGAAGGAUUGGAGGAGCUGCUUUUGUAAGGGAUUCUCCGGCUCAAACAGCUGCACGAGUCCCUGCCGCAGAAAUGCUUGUUAGGGCAGAAUCCAGCCGGAGCUCCAGGGAGCAUCCAGACACAGUGACUAUUCAUAACUGUAAUGGCGAUCAACCACGUCGACAAAAAACAGCCAGCCGAGCGGAGCGGGAGAUGUGCUGAAAACACACAUUUAUGGGGAAUACUUACUGUAUCAAAACUCGAAACGCUGUCCAAAAGCAUCAUUCUAGACCAUUGCACACAGACAAUGCAUCACGUCAAGAGGUUUACUGUAGUAGUGUACUCUAGAACAACAACAAGACAGGCUAAAGUCACUCCGAGAGACGAAAACCACAGUAGACGAGUCUAUGAGCAACGCCAAUCCACGAACACACCACUCGCCCCUCAGAGAAAACUGCCAGAUAAACCCAGCGCCAACAUCCUCACUGCCCACGAAAACACACCAAACUGCUGCUUUCACUGCGUUUGGCAUUACAAGACCACCAGUUUCAGACCAGCAUGUGGAGGAUUAGAAAUACUGCAGUGAUUACACAAUCAGAAUGAAUGUAUGGAUGACAUAAAGAGAUACGGAUAAGAUGAAAAAUAAAAGGGAAAUCCUGGGAUCAUCAGUGUGUGUAAAUGGUGCAAAGGUUGUGCUGGGCGGUGGGUGGAGGAAAGGAUGAUCCGAGGGGAAUAUAAUGACUUUUGCAGCUCGCAUGAAGACAGCAGGCAACUGCAGAAGAAGAAAAAACACUAGCGGACAUGGAGAAUGGCUGAUUUAAAGGGAUGGUUCACCUCUAAGUGAAAAUCUAGUCGUUUAUCCAACCCCCUGCAUUUUCCAUUCAUCUAAACACUGAGGGCCCUUUCAAAUGCCAGGGUGUAUUUUUUGCUAUUUUCAGACCGGCACAGCUAUCAUUUUCACAUUUUGCACCACGUACUGUAUAUUCUACAUGAAAUUGUUAACAGUGUUCUUUUAAUCCGGCAGCACAGUGGCUCUUAGCACUUUCUCCUCACAGCUAGAAGGUUGUUGGUUUGAGUCACGGCUAGUCCAGUUGGCAUUUCUGUGUGGGGUUUAUAUGUUCUCCCUGUGUUCGCACGGGGUUCUUCCGGGUGCUCCGGUUUCCCUCACAGUCCAAAGACUGUCUUUACUGGUUUGUGGCUGGAAGGGCAUCCACUGCAUAAAACAUGCUGGAAUAGUUGGCAGUUCAUUCUGCUGUGGUGAUCCCUGAGAAAUAAUGGACUAAACUGAAGGAAAAUGAAUGAAUGAAUAUUCUUUUAAUCCAUUGCAUCAUCGUUUCAGCAAGGUUCUGGAGACAUUCCUCAGAGAUCUUUGUCUAUGUUGACAUGACAGCAUCACAGUUUCUUCAGAUUUGUCGAAUGAACACGGAUGAUGUGAAUCUCCUGUUCCAACAACAUCCCAAAGGUGCUCUGCUGGAUUGACAUCCGCUGACCGUGAAGGUUGUUUGAGUAAAGUGAACUCAACUGUUCAAGAAACCAGUUUCAGAUGCUUUCAGCUUGUAGAUUUUUUGGAGUUUUGUAUGUGUCCUCUGUGAAUGGACAUGAUCAGCAUCAAUACUCAGGUCAGCUGUGGUAUUAAAAGGUGCCGUAAAGUGCUUUGAAGCGUGCAUUUUUUUAUUCCAUGUUUGACAUGAUCUUAACUGAAAAAUUAAGUUGUUUGGAUCUAGAGUAGCUCCUCCCCUGUUUAAAAUCAACCAAUAGCAUUUUGCUUUAAUCACAGCUCUUCCAGUCAGUGUGAUUGAGCUCAGGCGCAUUAAAUGAAAAAUAAAUGAGAUGCGUUUUGAUGGGGGCGGGAUAUGUCAGGUACUUGAGAGCAUUUGAUUGGUCAGAAGAUUUCAAAAAUCGUUAUUGAUUUAGGCAGAAUUUUCUCUUUGCAGGAAGCACAAUAGCUAAUUGAUAUCCUUGAGACUAACAGACUGAAACUGACAUCUAAUUUUUUUAUUUACAUUUAGUCAUUUAAAUUUUAUGGGACCUUUAAACAAUACUUAGGAGUGUGUCAAGAAAUGUCAUAUACACCAUUACACCUGUAGCAGCAUAAACCGUUGAUACACGGCUAAAUGAAUCCACCAAAUUCUGACCCUAUAAUCUAAAUGUUGCUGCAGAAAUUGAGGCAUCA